AGCGUACACGGUGGAUGCCCUGGCAGUCAGAGGCGAUGAAGGACGUGCUAAUCUGCGAUAAGCGUCGGUAAGGUGAUAUGAACCGUUAUAACCGGCGAUUUCCGAAUGGGGAAACCCAGUGUGUUUCGACACACUAUCAUUAACUGAAUCCAUAGGUUAAUGAGGCGAACCGGGGGAACUGAAACAUCUAAGUACCCCGAGGAAAAGAAAUCAACCGAGAUUCCCCCAGUAGCGGCGAGCGAACGGGGAGCAGCCCAGAGCCUGAAUCAGUGUGUGUGUUAGUGGAAGCGUCUGGAAAGGCGCGCGAUACAGGGUGACAGCCCCGUACACAAAAAUGCACAUGCUGUGAGCUCGAUGAGUAGGGCGGGACACGUGGUAUCCUGUCUGAAUAUGGGGGGACCAUCCUCCAAGGCUAAAUACUCCUGACUGACCGAUAGUGAACCAGUACCGUGAGGGAAAGGCGAAAAGAACCCCGGCGAGGGGAGUGAAAAAGAACCUGAAACCGUGUACGUACAAGCAGUGGGAGCACGCUUAGGCGUGUGACUGCGUACCUUUUGUAUAAUGGGUCAGCGACUUAUAUUCUGUAGCAAGGUUAACCGAAUAGGGGAGCCGAAGGGAAACCGAGUCUUAACUGGGCGUUAAGUUGCAGGGUAUAGACCCGAAACCCGGUGAUCUAGCCAUGGGCAGGUUGAAGGUUGGGUAACACUAACUGGAGGACCGAACCGACUAAUGUUGAAAAAUUAGCGGAUGACUUGUGGCUGGGGGUGAAAGGCCAAUCAAACCGGGAGAUAGCUGGUUCUCCCCGAAAGCUAUUUAGGUAGCGCCUCGUGAAUUCAUCUCCGGGGGUAGAGCACUGUUUCGGCAAGGGGGUCAUCCCGACUUACCAACCCGAUGCAAACUGCGAAUACCGGAGAAUGUUAUCACGGGAGACACACGGCGGGUGCUAACGUCCGUCGUGAAGAGGGAAACAACCCAGACCGCCAGCUAAGGUCCCAAAGUCAUGGUUAAGUGGGAAACGAUGUGGGAAGGCCCAGACAGCCAGGAUGUUGGCUUAGAAGCAGCCAUCAUUUAAAGAAAGCGUAAUAGCUCACUGGUCGAGUCGGCCUGCGCGGAAGAUGUAACGGGGCUAAACCAUGCACCGAAGCUGCGGCAGCGACACUAUGUGUUGUUGGGUAGGGGAGCGUUCUGUAAGCCUGUGAAGGUGUACUGUGAGGUAUGCUGGAGGUAUCAGAAGUGCGAAUGCUGACAUAAGUAACGAUAAAGCGGGUGAAAAGCCCGCUCGCCGGAAGACCAAGGGUUCCUGUCCAACGUUAAUCGGGGCAGGGUGAGUCGACCCCUAAGGCGAGGCCGAAAGGCGUAGUCGAUGGGAAACAGGUUAAUAUUCCUGUACUUGGUGUUACUGCGAAGGGGGGACGGAGAAGGCUAUGUUGGCCGGGCGACGGUUGUCCCGGUUUAAGCGUGUAGGCUGGUUUUCCAGGCAAAUCCGGAAAAUCAAGGCUGAGGCGUGAUGACGAGGCACUACGGUGCUGAAGCAACAAAUGCCCUGCUUCCAGGAAAAGCCUCUAAGCAUCAGGUAACAUCAAAUCGUACCCCAAACCGACACAGGUGGUCAGGUAGAGAAUACCAAGGCGCUUGAGAGAACUCGGGUGAAGGAACUAGGCAAAAUGGUGCCGUAACUUCGGGAGAAGGCACGCUGAUAUGUAGGUGAGGUCCCUCGCGGAUGGAGCUGAAAUCAGUCGAAGAUACCAGCUGGCUGCAACUGUUUAUUAAAAACACAGCACUGUGCAAACACGAAAGUGGACGUAUACGGUGUGACGCCUGCCCGGUGCCGGAAGGUUAAUUGAUGGGGUUAGCGCAAGCGAAGCUCUUGAUCGAAGCCCCGGUAAACGGCGGCCGUAACUAUAACGGUCCUAAGGUAGCGAAAUUCCUUGUCGGGUAAGUUCCGACCUGCACGAAUGGCGUAAUGAUGGCCAGGCUGUCUCCACCCGAGACUCAGUGAAAUUGAACUCGCUGUGAAGAUGCAGUGUACCCGCGGCAAGACGGAAAGACCCCGUGAACCUUUACUAUAGCUUGACACUGAACAUUGAGCCUUGAUGUGUAGGAUAGGUGGGAGGCUU
rnacentral:rRNA from 1 species